UACGUAGGGGGCUAGCGUUGUCCGGAUUCAUUGGGCGUAAAGCGCGUGUAGGCGGCCAGGUAGGUCCGUUGUGAAAACUCGAGGCUUAACCUCGAGAUGUCAUCGGAAACCAUUUGGCUAGAGUCCGGAAGAGGAGAGUGGAAUUCCUGGUGUAGCGGUGAAAUGCGCAGAUAUCAGGAAGAACACCAAUGGCGAAAGCAGCUCUCUGGGACGGUACUGACGCUGAGACGCGAAAGCGUGGGGAGCGAACAGG
rnacentral:rRNA from 1 species